rnacentral:rRNA from 1 species
GUCGAACGAUGAAGCCCAGCUUGCUGGGUGGAUUAGUGGCGAACGGGUGAGUAACACGUGGGUGAUCUGCCCUGCACUCUGGGAUAAGCCUGGGAAACUGGGUCUAAUACCGGAUAGGACCUUCGGCCGCAUGGCUGGGGGUGGAAAGUUUUUCGGUGCAGGAUGAGCCCGCGGCCUAUCAGCUUGUUGGUGGGGUAAUGGCCUACCAAGGCGACGACGGGUAGCCGGCCUGAGAGGGCGACCGGCCACACUGGGACUGAGACACGGCCCAGACUCCUACGGGAGGCAGCAGUGGGGAAUAUUGCACAAUGGGCGCAAGCCUGAUGCAGCGACGCCGCGUGAGGGAUGACGGCCUUCGGGUUGUAAACCUCUUUCACCCAUGACGAAGCGCAAGUGACGGUAGUGGGAGAAGAAGCACCGGCCAACUACGUGCCAGCAGCCGCGGUAAUACGUAGGGUGCGAGCGUUGUCCGGAAUUACUGGGCGUAAAGAGCUCGUAGGCGGUUUGUCGCGUCGUCUGUGAAAACCCGCAGCUCAACUGCGGGCUUGCAGGCGAUACGGGCAGACUCGAGUACUGCAGGGGAGACUGGAAUUCCUGGGUGUAGCGGUGAAAUGCGCAGAUAUCAGG